rnacentral:rRNA from 1 species
GCCGGUUUAGUGAGUCUCUUGUUAAAUUGAAGGGUUGCGUAAUGGGUCUGCAAGAAAUUCUACUAUGCUUGAGGAUUGGAGAAGUGGACGGGGAUCCCAGGGUAGGGGUGAAAUCCUAUAAUCCUUGGAGGACCACCAGUGGCGAAGGCGGUCGACUAGAACGUGCCUGACGGUGAGGGACGAAAGCUGGGGGAGCGAACCGGAUUAGAUACCCGGGUAGUCCCAGCUGUAAACGAUGCGGGCUAGGUGUAGGGGCAGCUACGAGCUGCUCCUGUGCCGCAAAGAAAUUGUUAAGCCCGCCGCCUGGGGAGUACGAUCGCAAGAUUGAAACUUAAAGGAAUUGGCGGGGGGAG